GAUGAACGCUGGCGGCGUGCCUAAUACAUGCAAGUCGAGCGAACGGACGAGAAGCUUGCUUCUCUGAUGUUAGCGGCGGACGGGUGAGUAACACGUGGAUAACCUACCUAUAAGACUGGGAUAACUUCGGGAAACCGGAGCUAAUACCGGAUAAUAUUUUGAACCGCAUGGUUCAAAAGUGAAAGACGGUCUUGCUGUCACUUAUAGAUGGAUCCGCGCUGCAUUAGCUAGUUGGUAAGGUAACGGCUUACCAAGGCAACGAUGCAUAGCCGACCUGAGAGGGUGAUCGGCCACACGGGAACUGAGACACGGUCCAGACUCCUACGGGAGGCAGCAGUAGGGAAUCUUCCGCAAUGGGCGAAAGCCUGACGGAGCAACGCCGCGUGAGUGAUGAAGGUCUUCGGAUCGUAAAACUCUGUUAUUAGGGAAAAACAUAUGUGUAAGUAACUGUGCACAUCUUGACGGUACCUAAUAAGAAAGCCACGGCUAACUACGUG
rnacentral:rRNA from 1 species